rnacentral:rRNA from 1 species
UACGGAGGGCGCAAGCGUUAAUCGGAAUCACUGGGCGUAAAGCGCGCGUAGGCUGUUUGAUAAGUCAGACGUGAAAUCCCUCGGCUCAACCGGGGAACUGCGUUUGAUACUGUCGAACUCGAGUCCUGGAGAGGGUGGCGGAAUUCCUGGUGUAGGAGUGAAAUCCGUAGAUAUCAGGAGGAACACCGGUGGCGAAGGCGGCCACCUGGACAGUUACUGACGCUGAGGCGUGAAAGCGUUGGGAGCAAACAGG